rnacentral:rRNA from 1 species
GAUGAACGCUGGCGGCGUGCCUAACACAUGCAAGUCGAGCGAGGGUUUGCUCAGUAUUGAGUAUUCUAAGUCUAGAAUGUUCAAUUCUGAGCAAAACCAAGCGGCGGACGGGUGAGUAACGCGUGGGUAACCUGCCCUAUACACACGGAUAACAUACUGAAAAGUUUACUAAUACAUGAUAAUAUAUAUUUGCGGCAUCGCAGAUAUAUCAAAGUGUUAGCGGUAUAGGAUGGACCCGCGUCUGAUUAGCUAGUUGGUGAGAUAACUGCCCACCAAGGCGACGAUCAGUAGCCGACCUGAGAGGGUGAUCGGCCACAUUGGAACUGAGACACGGUCCAAACUCCUACGGGAGGCAGCAGUGGGGAAUAUUGCACAAUGGGCGAAAGCCUGAUGCAGCAACGCCGCGUGAACGAUGAAGGUCUUCGGAUCGUAAAGUUCUGUUGCAGGGGAAGAUAAUGACGGUACCCUGUGAGG